rnacentral:rRNA from 1 species
UGGGGAAUCUUGCACAAUGGGGGCAACCCUGAUGCAGCGACGCCGCGUGAGUGAUGAAGCCCUUCGGGGUGUAAAGCUCUUUCGGCAGGGACGAUAAUGACGGUACCUGAAGAAGAAGCUGCGGCUAACUACGUGCCAGCAGCCGCGGUAAUACGUAGGCAGCGAGCGUUGUUCGGAGUUACUGGGCGUAAAGAGUGCGUAGGCGGUUUUCAAGUUUGGUGUGAAAUCUCCCGGCUUAACUGGGAGGGUGCGCCGAAGACUGGAAGGCUUGAGUAUGGGAGAGGUAAGCGGAAUUCCUGGUGUAGCGGUGAAAUGCGUAGAUAUCAGGAGGAACACCUGCGGUGUAGACGGCUUACUGGACCAUCACUGACGCUGAGGCACGAAAGCGUGGGUAGCAAACAGGAUUAGAUACCCUGGUAGUCCACGCCUAAACGAUGCAUACUGGUGUGGGUAGUUCAUUCUAUCCGUGCCGGAGCUAACGCGUUAAGUA